GAUGAACGCUGGCGGCGUGCCUAAUACAUGCAAGUCGAGCGAACAGACGAGGAGCUUGCUCCUCUGACGUUAGCGGCGGACGGGUGAGUAACACGUGGAUAACCUACCUAUAAGACUGGGAUAACUUCGGGAAACCGGAGCUAAUACCGGAUAAUAUAUUGAACCGCAUGGUUCAAUAGUGAAAGACGGUUUUGCUGUCACUUAUAGGUUGAUCCGCGCCGCAUUAGCUAGUUGGUAAGGUAACGGCUUACCAAGGCGACGAUGCGUAGCCGACCUGAGAGGGUGAUCGGCCACACUGGAACUGAGACACGGUCCAGACUCCUACGGGAGGCAGCAGUAGGGAAUCUUCCGCAAUGGGCGAAAGCCUGACGGAGCAACGCCGCGUGAGUGAUGAAGGUCUUCGGAUCGUAAAACUCUGUUAUUAGGGAAGAACAAAUGUGUAAGUAACUAUGCACGUCUUGACGGUACCUAAUCAGAAAGCCACGGCUAACUACGUG
rnacentral:rRNA from 1 species